GUCUGGGUGGCUCAGUCGGUUGAGCAUCUGACUCUUGGUUUCGGCUCAGGUCGUGAUCCCAGGGUUGUGGGAUCAAGCCCCACAUCAGGCU
rnacentral:tRNA from 1 species